GGGCGUGUAGCAUAGACUGGAUAAUGCACUGGCCUCCUAAGCCAGGGAUCGCGGGUUCAAAUCCUGCCACGCCCG
rnacentral:tRNA from 3 species